UACGUAGGGGGCGAGCGUUGUCCGAAUUUACUGGGCGUAAAGCGCGCGUAGGCGGGCUUUUAAGUUGGGGGUGAAAUGCCGGAGCUCAACUCCGGAACUGCCUCCAAAACUGGGAGCCUUGAGGUUUGGAGAGGGAAGUGGAAUUCCUGGUGUAGCGGUGAAAUGCGUAGAUAUCAGGAGGAACACCUGUGGCGAAGGCGGCUUCCUGGCCAUAUCCUGACGCUGAGGCGCGAAAGCUAGGGGAGCGAACGGG
rnacentral:rRNA from 1 species